rnacentral:rRNA from 1 species
AGCAGCCGCCACGGGAAUACGUAGGGUGCGAGCGUUAAUCGGAAUUACUGGGCGUAAAGCGUGCGCAGGCGGUUCGUUAAGACAGAUGUGAAAUCCCCGGGCUUAACCUGGGAACUGCAUUUGUGACUGGCGAGCUAGAGUAUGGCAGAGGGGGGUAGAAUUCCACGUGUAGCAGUGAAAUGCGUAGAGAUGUGGAGGAAUACCGAUGGCGAAGGCAGCCCCCUGGGCCAAUGCCGACGCUCAUGCACGAAAGCGUGGGGAGCAAACAGGAUUAGAUACCCCGGUAGUCCCUGUCUCUUAUAC